rnacentral:misc_RNA from 1 species
AAGGCCGGUGCGGAUACAGCG